GUGCCAGCAACCGCGGUUAUACAAGAUUUUCAAUUUAAUAUAUGCAAGUAUUCAGUUAAUUGUUAUUUUUUUUAUAAUUUUAUGAAUUUUGGUGAAAUAAUAUUUGUUAUAAAUAUAAAUUUUAUAUAUCUGAUAAACUAUUAGUAUAAACUAGGAUUAGAUACCCUAUUAUUUAAAGUGUAAAUUAAAUUAACUUGAUUAUUAAUAGAUAUAAUCUUUAAAUUCAAAGAAUUUGGCGGUAAUUUAUCUUAUCAGAGGAACCUGUUUUAUAAUUGAUAAUCCACGAUAGAUUAUACUUCAUUAUGACUUGUAUACCGCUGUCAAGAAUGUUCUUUUAGGAAAUUUUCUGUAUCUUUAAUAAACUUUAUGUCAGGUCAAGGUGCAGUUACAAUUAUGAAAGCAAAAAUGGGUUACUUUUAUUAUAUAAUUGAAUAUACUCUAUUAUAUUUAGAUUAUUGAAAUUGAAUUUGAAAAUAAAUUAAUUUAAUUUAAUUAAUUGAAAUAAGCUCUAUAUUAUGCACAUAUCGCCCGUCACUCUCAUUUUAAGAUGAGAUAAGUCGUAACAAAGUAGCUGUACCGGAAGGUGUAGCUAGAAUGA
rnacentral:rRNA from 1 species